ACAUGCAAGUCGAGCGAACAGAUGAGGAGCUUGCUCCUCUGACGUUAGCGGCGGACGGGUGAGUAACACGUGGAUAACCUACCUAUAAGACUGGGAUAACUUCGGGAAACCGGAGCUAAUACCGGAUAAUAUAUUGAACCGCAUGGUUCAAUAGUGAAAGACGGUUUUGCUGUCACUUAUAGAUGGAUCCGCGCCGCAUUAGCUAGUUGGUAAGGUAACGGCUUACCAAGGCAACGAUGCGUAGCCGACCUGAGAGGGUGAUCGGCCACACUGGAACUGAGACACGGUCCAGACUCCUACGGGAGGCAGCGGUAGGGAAUCUUCCGCAAUGGGCGAAAGCCUGACGGAGCAACGCCGCGUGAGUGAUGAAGGUCUUCGGAUCGUAAAACUCUGUUAUUAGGGAAGAACAAAUGUGUAAGUAACUAUGCACGUCUUGACGGUACCUAAUCAGAAAGCCACGGCUAACUACGUGCCAGCAGCCGCGGUAAUACGUAGGUGGCAAGCGUUAUCCGGAAUUAUUGGGCGUAAAGCGCGCGUAGGCGGUUUUUUAAGUCUGAUGUGAAAGCCCACGGCUCAACCGUGGAGGGUCAUUGGAAACUGGAAAACUUGAGUGCAGA
rnacentral:rRNA from 1 species